UACGAAGGGGGCUAGCGUUGCUCGGAAUCACUGGGCGUAAAGCGCACGUAGGCGGCUUUUUAAGUCAGGGGUGAAAUCCUAGAGCUCAACUCCAGAACUGCCUUUGAUACUGAGAAGCUUGAGUCCGGGAGAGGUGAGUGGAACUGCGAGUGUAGAGGUGAAAUUCGUAGAUAUUCGCAAGAACACCAGUGGCGAAGGCGGCUCACUGGCCCGGUACUGACGCUGAGGUGCGAAAGCGUGGGGAGCAAACAGG
rnacentral:rRNA from 1 species